GAUGAACGCUAGCUACAGGCUUAACACAUGCAAGUCGCGGGGCAGCAUUUUCUUAGCUUGCUAAGGAAGAUGGCGACCGGCGCACGGGUGAGUAACGCGUAUCCAACCUUCCCAUGUCCACGGGAUAGCCCGUCGAAAGGCGGAUUAAUACCGUAUGAGGUCACAUGCGGGCAUCUAAUUGUGACGAAAGGUUUAGCGGACAUGGAUGGGGAUGCGUCCGAUUAGCUAGUUGGCGGGGUAACGGCCCACCAAGGCAACGAUCAGUAGGGGUUCUGAGAGGAAGGUCCCCCCACAUUGGAACUGAGACACGGUCCAAAACUCCUACGGGAGGCAGCAGUGAGGAAUAUUGGUCAAUGGGCGAGAGCCUGAACCAGCCAAGUAGCGUGCAGGACGACGGCCCUAUGGGUUGUAAACUGCUUUUAUAAGGGAAUAAAGUGGGUCUCGUGAGACUUUUUGCAUGUACCUUAUGAAUAAGGACCGGCUAAUUCCGUG
rnacentral:rRNA from 1 species